rnacentral:lncRNA from 1 species
GACCACAUCCCCUUGGUGCCUCCAAGUGGGGCGUGAAAUCAUUUUCCUUCCGGGCUUCGCUGACACCAAAGAGAAGAGGGAGGUCAGCAGAGAGCCAGCUACCACCUCUUACCACCACCUUCUGCCUUGUAGACACCAGGUGGGGUGGGAGCUCGGCUCCGUGCUCGGACCCACUACCUCACACUGCCUGUUAGAUCCCACUGUUGCUGGGAGAGGAUGGACCCCACUGACACUACUCUGGGGGAGGAACCAAAGCACUGCUGCCUCCAUGUGAAGGGGAUGGGAGACCAGGCCGUCCUCGCUUCUGCAGUACAGACCCCGGGAGGCAUCAGAGCUUUCUGCUUCUGCUCAAGCUCCUGAUUUGAGGCAUCAAACUCCCACAGUGAGUUCCCCGCUUCAGGGCCGCAGGACAGCGUCUGGCUUCCUCACUUCCUGCCUAAUGGAUCUUGCUGCGCAAAUUGGACUUUUCGGGUUUUAUUACUCCCUAAGGGGAUUGCUGCUGGAUUACGCUCAUUUACUUUUUUAUUCUUUAUCUAUUAUUUACACAAGAAAAUAUUCCUGUUUUUCUUUCUGAAUAUCCUCCGUUAUUCCUGGCAUUAGCGGAAUAAUUUUUGUCAGUUUUAUAAAUUGCCUAUGACUGUACAUUUCCGAGCCAAUGUGUUGAGGAGUUCCUAUGAAUCGGCGGUAACCGAUGAUGAACAGCCCAGGCGCCCAGUGGCGGUGCAGGACGAG